rnacentral:rRNA from 1 species
AAUGAACGCUGGCGGCAUGCCUAACACAUGCAAGUCGAACGAAGGCUUCGGCCUUAGUGGCGCACGGGUGCGUAACGCGUGGGAAUCUGCCCUCAGGUUCGGAAUAACAGCGAGAAAUUGCUGCUAAUACCGGAUGAUAUCGCGAGAUCAAAGAUUUAUCGCCUGAGGAUGAGCCCGCGUAAGAUUAGCUAGUUGGUGUGGUAAAGGAGCACCAAGGGGACGAUCCUUAGCUGGUCGGAGAGGAUGAUCAGCCACACUGGGACUGCGACACGGCCCAGACUCCUACGGGAGGCAGCAGUGGGGAAUAUUGGACAAUGGGCGAAAGCCUGAUCCAGCAAUGCCGCGUGAGUGAUGAAGGCCUUAGGGUUGUAAAGCUCUUUUACCCGGGAUGAUAAUGACAGUACCGGGAGAAUAAGCUCCGGCUAACUCCGUGCCAGCCGCCGCCGUAA